rnacentral:rRNA from 1 species
AAUGAACGCUGGCGGCAUGCCUACACAUGCAAGUCGAACGAAGGCUUCGGCCUUAGUGGCGCACGGGUGCGUAACGCGUGGGAAUCUGCCCUCAGGUUCGGAAUAACAGCGAGAAAUUGCUGCUAAUACCGGAUGAUAUCGCGAGAUCAAAGAUUUAUCGCCUGAGGAUGAGCCCGCGUAGGAUUAGCUAGUUGGUGUGGUAAAGGCGCACCAAGGCGACGAUCCUUAGCUGGUCUGAGAGGAUGAUCAGCCACACUGGGACUGAGACACGGCCCAGACUCCGACGGGAGGCAGCAGUGGGGAAUAUUGGACAAUGGGCGAAGGCCUGAUCCAGCAAUGCCGCGUGAGUGAUGAAGGCCUUAGGGUUGUAAAGCUCUUUUACCCGGGAUGAUAAUGACAGUACCGGGAGAAUAAGCUCCGGCUAACUCCGUGCCAGCCGCCGCAGUAA